rfam:Picea glauca, whole genome shotgun sequence.
UAAAGGGUUGUUUUAACAACCAUUGCAUAAUUUGCACAUAUAUCUAU